rnacentral:rRNA from 1 species
GCCAAAAAUCUAGCCCCCCCCAAAUUCUAAUGUACCCUCUUUCCUAUUCUCAUAACCCAAAACAUUUUAAUGAUCUAGUAAAGGUGAUAAAAAAAUUUAUCGGAGCUAUACUGACAGUACCGUAAGGGAAAGCUGAAAUAGAAAUUAAAUAAACAAUUAAGCACAGAAAAGUAAAGAUUUAACCUUGUACCUUUUGUAUUAUGGCUUAACUAGUCUUAAUCAAGCAAAAUGAAUUUAAGUUUGCCCCCCCGAAACUAGGCGAGCUACUCCAAGGCAACUUUAAGAGCUAACCCGUCUCUGUCGCAAAAGAGUGGGAGGACCUUCGAGUAGAGGUGACAGACCAACCGAGCCUAGAGAUAGCUGGUUACCCAAUAAAAGAACCUUAGUUCAACCUAAAGCCAGAUAAUGAAUUUAAACACCUUCUACUUUAGAGCUAUUCAAAUAAGGUACAGCUUGUUUGAAACAGGAUACAACCUUAACUAACGGGUUAUUAUUCUAGCAAUGCACCAAAGUAGGCCUAAAAGCAGCCAUCUUUAAAAUAGCGUCAAAGCUUACCUGCCUUUACAAUUAAUUUCUAAAAAUUUUCCUAACCCUUUUCCACCACUGGGUGAUUCUAUAACCUUAUAGAGCCCAUUAUGUUAAGACUAGUAACAAGAAGUAACCCCUUCUCUUUAAUGUAAGUAUAAAUCAGAAAGGAUAAUCCACUGACUAUUAACAUGCAUGACUCUUAAUUAGAAACAUCACAAGAAAACCCUAAUAUUUUUAAUGUUAACCUAACACAAGAGCAUUUCAAGAAAGAUUUAAAAUAAAGGAAGGAACUCAGCAAACAUCAACCCCGCCUGUUUACCAAAAACAUCGCCUCUUGAACCACAAUAAGAGGUCCAGCCUGCCCAGUGACCCAAUUCAACGGCCGCGGUAUCCUAACCGUGCGAAGGUAGCGUAAUCACUUGUUCUUUAAAUGAGGACUAGUAUGAACGGCACCACGAGAGUUGUACUGUCUCCCCUUUUUAAUCAGUGAAACUAAUCUCCUCGUGAAGAAGCGGGGAUUUAUUUAUAAGACGAGAAGACCCUAUGGAGCUUUAAACAAGUUAACACCUACUGCCACACAACAUUAUAUAAAGCAAAGUAGAACAUCAGCAUGUUUUUGAUUGGGGCGAUCACGGAGCAAAAAAUAACCUCCAUGACAUAUGGGACUAACCCCCUGAGCAAUAAGCCACAACUUUAUGCACUAUAAAAUUAAUGUCUCUUGACCCAAUAAUUUGAUCAACGAACCAAGUUACCCUAGGGAUAACAGCGCAAUCCAUUUCAAGAGCUCCUAUCGACAAGUGGGUUUACGACCUCGAUGUUGGAUCAGGGUGUCCUAGUGGUGCAGCCGCUACUGAGGGUUCGUUUGUUCAACGAUUAAAACCCU